rnacentral:rRNA from 1 species
GACGAACGUUGGCGGCGUGCUUAACACAUGCAAGUCGAACGGAAAGGCCCUGCUUUUGUGGGGUGCUCGAGUGGCGAACGGGUGAGUAACACGUGAGUAACCUGCCCUUGACUUUGGGAUAACUUCAGGAAACUGGGGCUAAUACCGGAUAGGAGCUCCUGCUGCAUGGUGGGGGUUGGAAAGUUUCGGCGGUUGGGGAUGGACUCGCGGCUUAUCAGCUUGUUGGUGGGGUAGUGGCUUACCAAGGCUUUGACGGGUAGCCGGCCUGAGAGGGUGACCGGCCACAUUGGGACUGAGAUACGGCCCAGACUCCUACGGGAGGCAGCAGUGGGGGAUAUUGCACAAUGGGCGGAAGCCUGAUGCAGCAACGGCGCGUGCGGGAAUGACCGGCCUCCGGGGUGUAAAACCGGCUUCGCCCUGUGACCGAAGCGUGAGUGACGUAAAUGGGUAAAGAAGCACGGGCUAACUACGUGCCAGCAGCCGCGGUGAUACGUAGGGUGCGAGCGUUGUCCGGAUUUAUUGGGCGUAAAGGGCUCGUAGGUGGUUGAUCGCGUCGGAAGUGUAUUCUUGGGGGCUUAACCCUGAGCGUGCUUUCGAUACGGGUUGACUGNAGGAAGGUAGGGGAGAAUGGAAUUCCUGGUGGAGCGGUGGAAUGCGCAGAUAUCAGGAGGAACACCAGUGGCGAAGGCGGUUCUCUGGGCCUUUCCUGACGCUGAGGAGCGAAAGCGUGGGGAGCGAACAGGCUUAGAUACCCUGGUAGUCCACGCUGUAAACGGUGGGUACUAGGUGUGGGGUCCAUUCCACGGGUUCCGUGCCGUAGCUAACGCUUUAAGUACCCCGCCUGGGGAGUACGGCUGCAAGGCUAAAACUCAAAGGAAUUGACGGGGCCCCGCACAAGCGGCGGAGCAUGCGGAUUAAUUCGAUGCAACGCGUAGAACCUUACCUGGGUUUGACAUGGAUCGGGAGUGCUCAGAGAUGGGUGUGCCUCUUUUGGGGUCGGUUCACAGGUGGUGCAUGGCUGUCGUCAGCUCGUGUCGUGAGAUGUUGGGUUAAGUCCCGCAACGAGCGCAACCCUUGUUCACUGUUGCCAGCACGUUAUGGUGGGGACUCAGUGGAGACCGCCGGGGUCAACUCGGAGGAAGGUGGGGAUGACGUCAAGUCAUCAUGCCCCUUAUGUCCAGGGCUUCACGCAUGCUACAAUGGCUGGUACAGAGAGUGGCGAGCCUGUGAGGGUGAGCGAAUCUCGGAAAGCCGGUCUCAGUUCGGAUUGGGGUCUGCAACUCGACCUCAUGAAGUCGGAGUCGCUAGUAAUCGCAGAUCAGCAACGCUGCGGUGAAUACGUUCCCGGGGCU